AGUGAACGCUGGCGGUAGGCCUAACACAUGCAAGUCGAACGGCAGCACAGGAGAGCUUGCUCUCUAGGUGGCGAGUGGCGGACGGGUGAGGAAUACAUCGGAAUCUACUCUGUCGUGGGGGAUAACGUAGGGAAACUUACGCUAAUACCGCAUACGACCUACGGGUGAAAGCAGGGGACCUUCGGGCCUUGCGCGAUUGAAUGAGCCGAUGUCGGAUUAGCUAGGUGGCGGGGUAAAGGCCCACCAAGGCGACGAUCCGUAGCUGGUCUGAGAGGAUGAUCAGCCACACUGGAACUGAGACACGGUCCAGACUCCUACGGGAGGCAGCAGUGGGGAAUAUUGGACAAUGGGCGCAAGCCUGAUCCAGCCAUACCGCGUGGGUGAAGAAGGCCUUCGGGUUGUAAAGCCCUUUUGUUGGGAAAGAAAUCCAGCUGGCUAAUACCCGGUUGGGAUGACGGUACCCAAAGAGUAAGCACCGGCUAACUUCGUGCCAGCCGCCGCGGUAA
rnacentral:rRNA from 1 species